GAUGGAAACCCAGAGGAAUAACCUGAAUGCGCAGGCCUCUUGUGCUGCAUGACCUUACAACCUCUGUGGUGUUUCAAAACUCUGUCCCGUAAUACACCGUACUCUUCUGGUAAGCCUUAGCAAGAUGACUGUGCAGACCUAACAUAUUUAAAGGGCUUCUUGAAAGUACCGUGGAAUUUAGUGCUUUUCAAGGAUAUAUGAAAGUGGUUCUUGUGCAAAUUGAACUGAAACCAACACGGGGAACUUGGAGGAACCUACAAACCCUUCAAUACAGCCAGAGAGAUGGAAAUAAACUGAACUUUGAUUGUAUCAAGAAGCUCAGAAAGGUGGACUUCACUGGUUCUUGUUUCCUUCAAACAUUUUGAUAAUUUUUUAAAAUUGUGACAACAGUAAUCUAAACUCAUAUCUAGCCCUGUGGUACUUCUUUACAGGUUAACAAAGCAGUAAGAAAAUAAAGAAUGCAAAUGUUCA